AACGCCUUGGGUUCCAGCGCGCUCUUCCGAUAACGCUGACGGAAAGAAUCGUGUAACCUCGCGUAACCUCGUUGUCUUCGCGAAAGGUCGAGAAAUACGUAGUAGCCGCUCCCCAAGCAUGACGGGUGCAGAGAAAAUCAAACGUUGCAGAGGAGGAUCUUUAUAAGAGCAACCAGCCGGCCAGUGCAUGGACGGUGACGUCGGGAAAGACGCAUCUCGCCGAAGCAACUCAGGCUGCUUCUGUAGAAGGGAUCACAGAGUGGCUGAAAGAAUGCUGGACGGCCCCGUGGCUCUUGGUUCCAACAACGCGGAGGCGGACAACCGGGCCAAGUUCCACUUCCCAGCGAA